UAGCUAUAACUUUUUAGAAGCAAUGCACUUUUGUAUUUUUAUUUGAUUUGGAUUAUUUAUUUAAUUUGUGUGAUAUAAAAAAAGAACCACUUCCUCAUCUGUUGGUUUAAAUACUGCUGCUUUCAUCUGGCUUUAUGCCUUUUCCAGUCUCCUCUCGUCAUUGACCCUGAGCGCCUGAAGAACCUCACAAAAAGACAACAAUAAUCCCAGCUCAUUAGGUGGGUAAAGUAAAAGGUGAAUAUAACAAGGACAUCAGUGAAACAUCACAGCACCUGCUCUUCACUAGAUCUACUGGAUCAUCUGAGUGAUUUGACUGAAUCAAAAUGCUGCUGAUGAUUGAAGCUCUUCUUCUCAUUUCAGCCACUCUACAGGAUCGAGCAGCUGUUGCUGAUGAACAGAUAUUUCCAUUGGAUAUGGCUCUGAAUUCUGUUGAUGACCUUUAUGUGGGUUGCAAAAAGAACAUGGCCUGUCUGGUGGAGAAGGUAUUGCUAAAGAAGGAACUCAGUAACACACAUAAAUUCAGAAGGGCUUGGCAGGAAGCUGUAGAGAAUCAUAAGCCUCCAGGAGAUAACUUGAAAAAGAUUCAUACGAUUGCCAUUUAUGUGUACACUAAAUCAACUUCUAAAGUAUAUCAGGGUUUGAAUGAUGCUGUUUGUAGUGAUA